UACGGAGGGGGCUAGCGUUGUUCGGAAUUACUGGGCGUAAAGCGCACGUAGGCGGCUUUGUAAGUUAGAGGUGAAAGCCCGGGGCUCAACUCCGGAAUUGCCUUUAAGACUGCAUCGCUAGAAUUGUGGAGAGGUAAGUGGAAUUCCGAGUGUAGAGGUGAAAUGCGUAGAGAUGCGGAGGAACACCGAUGGCGAAGGCAGCCCCCUGGGCUAACACUGACGCUCAGGCACGAAAGCGUGUGGAGCAAACAGG
rnacentral:rRNA from 1 species